rnacentral:rRNA from 1 species
CCUACGGGUGGCAGCAGUGAGGAAUAUUGGUCAAUGGGCGCGAGCCUGAACCAGCCAAGUCGCGUGAGGGAUGAAGGUUCUAUGGAUCGUAAACCUCUUUUAUAAGGGAAUAAAGUGUGGGACGUGUCCUAUUUUGUAUGUACCUUAUGAAUAAGGAUCGGCUAACUCCGUGCCAGCAGCCGCGGUAAUACGGAGGAUCCGAGCGUUAUCCGGAUUUAUUGGGUUUAAAGGGUGCGUAGGCGGCCUUUUAAGUCAGCGGUGAAAGUCUGUGGCUCAACCCCGCUCCGCCGUUGAAACUGUGUCCCUGGAGUGCGCGAAGGGUAGGCGGAAUGCGUGGUGUAGCGGUGAAAUGCAUAGAUAUCACGCAGAACUCCGAUCGCGAAGGCAGCCUACCGGCGCGCAACUGACGCUCAUGCACGAAAGCGUGGGUAUCGAACAGGAUUAGAUACCCCGGUAGUC